rnacentral:tRNA from 1 species
GGCCGUAUGGUCUAGUAGCAUGAUUCUCGCUUUGGGAGAGUCACAACUCGGAAUUGCGAGAGGUCCUGGGUUCAAUUCCCAGUGCGGCCC